GGGAGAUUAUACCGUAGGGGUAGCGGGCUGGACUGUAAAUUCAGUGGCUUACAAAUGUCUCGGGUGGUUCGACUCCAUCAUCUCCCA
rnacentral:tRNA from 1 species